GAUGAACGCUGGCGGCGUGUUUAACACAUGCAAGUCGAACGAAGCACUUAUCAUGAAGUUUUCGGAUGGAUUGAUAAAUGACUGAGUGGCGGACGGGUGAGUAACGCGUGGGUAACCUGCCUUAUACAGGGGGAUAACAGUUGGAAACGACUGCUAAUACCGCAUAAGCGCACAGUGCUGCAUGGUACCGUGUGAAAAGAUUUGUCGUUAUAAGAUGGACCCGCGUCUGAUUAGCUGGUUGGUGGGGUAACGGCCUACCAAGGCGACGAUCAGUAGCCGGCUUGAGAGAGUGAACGGCCACAUUGGGACUGAGACACGGCCCAAACUCCUACGGGAGGCAGCAGUGGGGAAUAUUGCACAAUGGGGGAAACCCUGAUGCAGCGACGCCGCGUGAGUGAAGAAGUAUUUCGGUAUGUAAAGCUCUAUCAGCAGGGACGAAAGAAGUUGAAAGACACUUCCUGACGGUACCUGACUAAGAAGCCCCGGCUAACUACGUGCCAGCCGCCGCAGUAACAC
rnacentral:rRNA from 1 species